CCUACGGGUGACAGCAGUGAGGAAUCUUGGUCAAUGGGCGCUAGCCUGAACCAGCCAAGUAGCGUGAAGGAUGACUGCCCUCUGGGUUGUAAACUUCUUUUAUAUGGGAAUAAAGUGCAGUAUGUAUACUGCUUUGCAUGUACCUUUUGAAUAAGGAUCGGCUAACUCCGUGCCCGCAGCCGCGGUAAUACGGAGGAUUCGGGCGUUAUCCGGAUUUGGUGGGGUUAAAGGGAGCGUAGGCGGGUUGGUAAGUCAGUUGUGAAAGUUUGCGGCUCAACCGUAAAAUUGCAGUUGAUACUGGCAUCCUGGAGUACAGUAGAGGUAGGUGGAAUUCGUGGUGUAGCGGUGAAAUGCUUAGAUAUAACGAAGAACUCCGAUUGCGAAGGCAGCCUGCUGGACUGUAACUGACGCUGAUGCUCGAAAGUGUGGGUAUCAAACAGGAUUAGAUACCCGAGUAGUC
rnacentral:rRNA from 1 species